rnacentral:tRNA from 1 species
GGAGAGAUGGCAGAGUGGUCGAAUGCGGCGGUCUUGAAAACCGUUGUACCGAAAGGUACCGGGGGUUCGAAUCCCUCUUUCUCCG